GAUGAACGCUAGCGACAGGCUUAACACAUGCAAGUCGAGGGGCAGCAUAAAAGUAGCAAUACUUUGGUGGCGACCGGCGCACGGGUGAGUAACGCGUAUGCAACCUACCUAUCAGAGGGGAAUAACCCGGCGAAAGUCGGACUAAUACCGCAUAAAACAGGGGCACCGCAUGGUGAUAUUUGUUAAAGAGAUUCGCUGAUAGAUGGGCAUGCGUUCCAUUAGGUAGUUGGUGAGGUAACGGCUCACCAAGCCGACGAUGGAUAGGGGAACUGAGAGGUUGGUCCCCCACACUGGUACUGAGACACGGACCAGACUCCUACGGGAGGCAGCAGUGAGGAAUAUUGGUCAAUGGGCGAGAGCCUGAACCAGCCAAGUCGCGUGAAGGAAGAAGGAUCUAUGGUUCGUAAACUUCUUUUGCAGGGGGAUAAAGUGCAGGACGUGUCCUGUUUUGUAUGUACCCUGAGAAUAAGGAUCGGCUAACUCCGUGCCAGCCGCCGCGGUAAGAC
rnacentral:rRNA from 1 species